AUUGAACUCUGGCGGCAGGCCUAACACAUGCAAGUCGAACGAGUGGCGGACGGGUGAGUAAUGUCUGGGAAACUGCCCGAUGGAGGGGGAUAACUCCUGGAAACGGUAGCUAAUACCGCAUACCAUCAGAUGUGCCCAAAUGGGAUUAGCUAGUUGGUGGGGUAAAGGCUCACCAAGGCGACGAUCCCUAGCUGGUCUGAGAGGAUGACCAGCCACACUGGAAGUGAGAACAGGUCCAGACUCCUACGGGAGGCAGAAGUGGGGAAUAUUGCACAAGGGGAGCAAGCCUGAUGCAGCCAUGCCGCGUGUAUGAAGAAGGCCUUCGGGUUGUAAAGUACUUUCAGCGGGGAGGCGUUACCCGCAGAAGAAGCACCGGCUAACUCCGUGCCAGCAGCCGCGGUAAUUC
rnacentral:rRNA from 1 species